rnacentral:rRNA from 1 species
UGGGGAAUAUUGCACAAUGGGCGCAAGCCUGAUGCAGCCAUGCCGCGUGUGUGAAGAAGGCCUUCGGGUUGUAAAGCACUUUCAGCGAGGAGGAAGGUGGUGAACUUAAUACGUUCAUCAAUUGACGUUACUCGCAGAAGAAGCACCGGCUAACUCCGUGCCAGCAGCCGCGGUAAUACGGAGGGUGCAAGCGUUAAUCGGAAUUACUGGGCGUAAAAGCGCACGCAAGGCGGUUUGUUAAGUCAGAUGUGAAAAUCCCCGGGCUCAACCUGGGAACUGCAUUUGAAACUGGCAAGCUAGAGUCUCGUAGAGGGGGGUAGAAUUCCAGGUGUAGCGGUGAAAUGCGUAGAGAUCUGGAGGAAUACCGGUGGCGAAGGCGGCCCCCUGGACGAAGACUGACGCUCAGGUGCGAAAGCGUGGGGAGCAAAACAGGAUUAGAUACCCUGGUAGUCCACGCUGUAAAACGAUGUCGAUUUUGGAGGUUGUGCCCUUGAGGCGUGGCUUCCGGAGCUAACGC